UACGUAGGGGGCAAGCGUUGUCCGGAAUCAUUGGGCGUAAAGAGCGUGUAGGCGGCCCGGUAAGUCCGCUGUGAAAGUCCAGGGCUCAACCCUGGGAUGCCGGUGGAUACUGUCGGGCUCGAGUCCGGAAGAGGAGUGUGGAAUUCCUGGUGUAGCGGUGAAAUGCGCAGAUAUCAGGAGGAACACCAAUGGCGAAGGCAGCACUCUGGGACGUGACUGACGGCUGAGAGCGAAAGCGUGGGGAGCAAACAGG
rnacentral:rRNA from 1 species